rnacentral:lncRNA from 1 species
GUGGUUGUUGGGUGGACUGAGAGAAUUGGACCAUAAGCUGUGCAUCUGAAGGUAAAAACCUCGGGAACAAAUUUUGUAAAUUCUCAAAUUAUUAUUUAAGAUGAUCAUAAGCUUAGUCAGAAGCUUGCAUCAGCUGAUCAUAACCUAUUGGAUGUAGAUGAUUGUGGUUCAAUGUAGCUCAUCAUAACCCUUUCAUUCUUUCUCUUUUUCCAGAAUAACCCCUGGUCAAAGAGGGCCAAUUGGACAAAGCUGAGGUGCCCUAAGUGCAGCUAGCGAAAUGCACCAUUUUGAAACCCUGAGUUAAUUGAAACGCAACAUUUUUGGAGUGCAGAGGUAGCUGAUUGAAGGUUGGAUGCGACAAGGGGCUUCAACAAAAUUCUUUCCCAAAUUGAACCCUCGAGCUACGGUUCGAAGAAGCUCUAAAGGAAGAAGUGCACUAAGGUGGUUCAGUUCUUUCUCCUUUUUUCGCUUUCUAGUUUAGUAGAAAGUUCUGUUAGAGAUUAGAGUCUCGGUUAGUUCAGUUCUUUUAGGGGGAUUUCUUAUUCCCAGAUUUUAGCUUCUGAUUGUUGAUUAGAAUUAGAUAACAGAGUAGUUCUUUCUCCAUAUUUUCGAAUUCAGUGCUUCUUUCUUCAUUAGAAUCAGAGUAGAGAGUGAUUUUUGGAUCUUCUUCUUUGGAGAUUGCUGAAGGAUUCUCACUAGCACAAAAAGGUCGUGAACUUUUCUUUAGAGUAUUUCUGGUACCCUUUUGUAACUCAAUUGUUGAUUCAAAUAAAACUCUGAAGUUUCUUUUGUUUUUUUGUUUGUUCAAGAUUUACGGUUCUGCUCUUUACUUUCUUUUCUUGCAUGAUUCUUUAUUUUUUAGCACUUGUUUAUUACCAUUUUAAGUUCAGGGAUUGUAUUUUGGUUCCUUUGAUCAUAGCUGUUGUGUUCGUUGUAUCCUUGAUAUGUUUCUGAUUUGAUUGAUUGAAAUUAGACUAGGAUUUACUUGUUGCACACUCGGGUAUGUGGGAUUGUUUGUUUUGGUUAAUCUGAUACUUUAGUCACCAUGAUUUGUGCAUUAUAGUUGUUGUAGUAUGAGCAUAAUGCAGACUUGAGAUUUUGAACUUUUGAGAGUUUGAAGGCGAACCUACACCUUUAUGUGUCUGAAUUAGAUGCUAUAGGACCCCAAAGUGGGUCUGAUUCCAUCAAGAUGUCUUCAUGAGACAGGUUGGGCUUCAGAUUACCAAAUAGGUUAAUUCCCAGUUCUGCAUUUGCUUUGCUUCUUAGGAUUCUACUUGUAUCUUUGUAAUUGGUUUCUCUGCAGAGUGUAGUGUAGUAAGCAAUGUUCUUGGCAGCUUUGAGUCUUGCAAAUAUGAUAGGUUCCUGGAUAGGGAACCUAAUCAAGAACUUGCUUUUUGACACAAAACGACGCAAGGUAUGAAUGAAACUGUGUAGUAUUGACAAAAAGAAUGUUUGUACAACAAGAAAGUAGAGGCUUAACCCUCUCCAUAGGUCAAUACCUGUUUUACAAUCCAAUCCCCAAAAGUACCUCCCCACUAACUAAUCCUCUAUUUAUAACUACCUCACCUGCCCCUCCUUAACUGUUGUAAGCAAUUAAGAGAUAACAGCUAGUUAGUUAGCCUUCUUUCUUCUCUCGUACACUAUCCAUCUCUGCCUAUUCCUUUCAGACCUAUCAAUACCCUCCGCCUGAAACUCAACCUUGUCCCCAAGGUUGAAAUCGGGGUAUUGCUCCCGGAUGGUCACUUCAUCCUCCCAAGUUGCCCCAUCUGGACCCCCUUCUUGCCACUCUAUCAAAAGUUGUGGCACGGUCUUCUUUCCUUGUUGUGCUUGCCUUCUUCCAAGGACACCCAUUGGCCAAAAUGACGGCCCUUCUGCCUGCAAGUCUCACAGCAACUCCUUCUCUACUCUUUGCUCGCCUAUAGCCCUUUUCAGUUGUGACACGUGAAAAAUAGGGUGCAUCCGUGCCAUAUCUAGCAGCUGCAGCUUGUAAGCUACCUCCCCCACCCUCUGGAUGAUCUUAAAUAGCCCGAAAUAUCUCGCUGCCAACUUUGGGUGAAGCCUAGUUGGCAUUGAAGUCUGCCUAUGGUGCCUUAUCCUUAGAUAAACCCAAUCUCCUACCUCCAUACUCGCUGGUUUCCUAUUUUUGUUGGCUUGCCGCCCCAUCAACUCCUGUGCCCUCUCCAGAUGGAACCUCAACUGCCUCAAGGCUUCAUCUCGGGUCUGAAGCUCUUGACUCACUGCCUCUACUAACGUUUCGCCUGGAAUGAAUCUAUGCAACGAGGGGGGCCGUCUCCCAUAAACUGUCUCAAACAGAGUGCACUUUAUAGCUCCUUGAUAGCUGGUAUUGUACCAAUACUCAGCCCAAGGUAAGACUGUCAUGGGUGGUAUGCGGUGCUCAUCUUCAACUAUUUGGAAUAGGACAACAUCUACCACAACUAAAACAACCUCUAACAUAACUAAGACAACUACAAAGUACAUUUCUUUCAACUACUAUUUUCACAUUUUACGAUCUUCACAUUUUGUCUAUCCAUCAAUUAUUCCUUUUAUAACCUCAAAAUACUAAUAGUUCUUUAAAGUCAAUACAAAGAUCAUAAAUAUGAAGCUGAACAACAUUGUUAAGUAUAUUCACUCAAGGAAAGGAAUUUAGCAGCAGUAGCAACAAAGAGGGUCUCGAUCUGAUUAGGUUUCUAAUAAGAAGGAACGCAACAUGGAGACUAAAGGGAGAACUGAUUAAAGACAAAGAAUUGAAAAGUUUCCAUGCGAAGAUUCAUGUGUAUGAAAGGAGGAAGCAAAAGCAUUGGUGUGAAACAGCUGGUUCAACAAGUGUAAAGCUAUCAUCAAUGCAGAUUGAUCCAAAGUAACAAAAUCACUCGAGGAAUAAUUGUAAAAUGGAUGAGGACUCAGCAUAAAAUCAAGGGUUAUGAAGGGAAAUUGUUGAGCAGAGGAAAGAUUGCAAUGGCCGAUAUACAGUAGAAUGUAUAAGUGUUUACAUAUGAGAAAAAGUUCAUAUUUAACAGCUGAAAAAGUGCAGAGAAGCAAAGCUCCAAAGAUCUUAGGUCUUCAAACUAGAAUAAUCGAGUUCAAAUUGAGACAGAGAAAAAUGAAUACGUGGGCAUUAAGAGGAAGAGGAGCUUUUGGAUUUUCAUCGAAUUCAGCUGUGAGUCUAUGUCACUGUUACUGUGCAUUAAGUGGUAUCGAUGCUGUGAGUCAUGAAGAUAGAUUGAAGAACAUAUAUGACAUGAUGUUAUGCAUACAAACAUUCCUUACAUAAACUUAUCUGGAUUAUCGUUAGAUAGAACUAUGAUAUUAUUUUAACUUCUCUAUUGUUCAUACAACCCUUAUAACUGGUGCGAAUACAUUUUUUUUCGUAAUUUUAAUAAGUUCAAUUAGGAUGCUCUAUUUUCAUGUUAUCUCUGUUGGACUUUCCUUCAAGUUUUCGAGCAAAGAAGUCCUUAAAAUACUGAUUAACUCUGAUACUCUUGAACUGUGGUGGUAUUUGAUCAGUUAUCAAACGUGGUGAAGGACCUAUGACAGCAUCUUCUCUAGGGCUAUAGAAUGUUGCAAAUGAAAGUCUUUCCUUCUCAGAAUUCACUGUUGCUCGAUGCUCAACACNNNN